AAAAGGGAUAGAGGCGCGGUUCUCAUGCGUACUCCGGGACAAGGCCAGGCAGCCGUUCCGGAGGAGAGGGUGAACCGCCGAAGGUCCCCACCGCCUGCCUGGGCGGCGGACCUGGGCCGCGGGAUAAGAUCCUGCGGACUGUCACUUUUGUGGAGCGCUAUCCAGAGG
rnacentral:ncRNA from 2 species